rnacentral:rRNA from 1 species
GACGAACGCUGGCGGCGUGCUUAACACAUGCAAGUCGAACGGUGAAGCGCCUUCCUUUUUGGUGGGUGUGGAUGAGUGGCGAACGGGUGAGUAACACGUGAGUAACCUGCCCCCUUCUUCUGGAUAACCGCAUGAAAGUGUGGCUAAUACGGGAUAUUCUGGGUCUGUCGCAUGAUGGGUCUGGGAAAGAUAUUGUUUCGGUGGGGGAUGGGCUCGCGGCCUAUCAGCUUGUUGGUGGGGUGAUGGCCUACCAAGGCGGUGACGGGUAGCCGGCCUGGGAGGGUAGACGGUCACACUGGGACUGCGGCACGGCCCAGACUCCUACGGGAGGCAGCAGUGGGGAAUAUUGCACAGUGGGCGCAAGCCUGCUGCAGCGACGCCGCGUGAGGGAUGGAGGCCUUCGGGUUGUGAACCUCUUUCGCCAGUGAAGCAGGCCUGCCUCGUUUGUGGGUGGGUUGACGGUAGCUGGAUAAGAAGCGCCGGCUAACUACGUG